UACAGAGGUCCCGAGCGUUGUUCGGAUUCACUGGGCGUAAAGGGUGCGUAGGUGGUCGGGUAAGUCUGAGGUGAAAUCUCCGAGCCCAACUCGGAAACUGCCUUGGAUACUAUUCGGCUAGAGGGUUGGAGGGGGGGACUGGAAUUCCGGGUGUAGCGGUGGAAUGCGUAGAGAUCCGGAAGAACACCGGUGGCGAAGGCGGUUAGCUGGGCAGUUGCUGACACUGAGGCGCGACAGCGUGGGGAGCAAACAGG
rnacentral:rRNA from 1 species